UACGGGGGGAGCAAGCGUUGUCCGGAUUUACUGGGCGUAAAGAGCGCGCAGGCGGUCGUUCAAGUCGCGUGUGAAAGCCCCCGGCUCAACUGGGGAGGGUCACGCGAUACUGAUCGACUCGAAGGCAGGAGAGGGAAGUGGAAUUCCCGGUGUAGUGGUGAAAUGCGUAGAUAUCGGGAGGAACACCAGUGGCGAAGGCGACUUCCUGGUCUGUUCUUGACGCUGAGGCGCGAAAGCUAGGGGAGCAAACGGG
rnacentral:rRNA from 1 species